GAAACUUAUCAAGAAUUAGGGGAGAGAGUUGACUUGAUGAUCCUAUACCAACCUACUAGAAAAAGUAAGGUGGUCCUGUUAACACACGAUAAGGGGGUAUAGUAAACCAAUAAUACGGUGAAUA
rnacentral:ncRNA from 2 species